UACGAAGGGGGGCUAGCGUUGCUCGGAAUCACUGGGCGUAAAGCGCACGUAGGCGGAUUGCUAAGUCAGGGGUGAAAUCCUGGAGCUCAACUCCAGAACUGCCUUUGAUACUGGCGAUCUCGAGUCCGGGAGAGGUGAGUGGAACUGCGAGUGUAGAGGUGAAAUUCGUAGAUAUUCGCAAGAACACCAGUGGCGAAGGCGGCUCACUGGCUCGGUACUGACGCUGAGGUGCGAAAGCGUGGGGAGCAAACAGG
rnacentral:rRNA from 1 species